GUGUGCGGCUGUCCCGGGAGGGCUUUAGCGCAGAGCCGCGACGGGCAGCGGGGGUGUGUUGCCUGACGCGUGCGCAGCUGUGGGGCGACACACGGGGGCGGCUUCUGCAGCCGAGGGACCCCGCUUUGCAGCCUGCACCCCGGCUCCCGCGUGCCCGCCGCUGUCUGUCGCCCGCCGGUGCGAUGAGCCCAGCCCUGCUUGGACGCUGUUCACGCCUCUGCGCUCCAUACCUUGCUCCUGUCCUCUGUUUGCAGUUCCACUCUAGCAGAGCAGGGUGGGCUCCUCCCCUCUGUACGGUAGAGGAGCCUGGUCACUGGCCCAUCUCAGUAGUGAAACUGGAGGUUUGAUGCACAGGGGAUUCUCAGUAGCAGGCGCCAGUGCCUGAUUUAUCGUGAGAAGCAGUUUAAUAUUUCGGCUAUAAAAGGCUAGAACUAGUUCCUAAUUAGAAGGUGUGCCAGGUUGUAAAUUGUCAGGUUGCAAGUAGGGAUGAGCACGCCAAGUUUUUGCGUAUAGGUCUAAAGAAGUUUUGGGGGUGGGGGAGGAUGCGGUACCCCAGACCUGUUUCCUUGUCUGCCCAGACCUUGCCAUGGUGUAGCUUUCCAUCUCUUGUGACAGUGUCUCAAGGAGCAGUAGACAUUCUUUGGCUGCAGCAGAUUUCGCAUUGUCUUCCUGAUUGGAAGAGUUCAGUUAUGAGGCUUCUGGUUGCCAGUUACUCCUUUCUUUUGAAGAGAAAGAACUGGAAUCAUUUGGAUAAGGGAUGGGCGUUGGAAGGAGUAGUUUUCACUUUUUAUGUAUUGUAUAAGGCAGUUAUGCUGUGAACUAUUUAUAUAUGAUGGAAUAAACAAAAACAAAGCAAGAGCUGCUGGAGGUUUGGAUAGUCCUACUCAUGUUGAAGUAAUCAGAAUAGUAGUAGUAUUGGCAAGUUCUCAGGGUGGGAGAUCUGUGGCUUUAGCCACCUGGAUGGAAGUCUGCGUAAUGGUUUCUCAGUGACAGGAGAUUCCCUCGGUUUUAAUCCAGUAGUUCCUAGUUAUUCCACUCUCCAGUUUCCAACCGGGUCAUUUAGGCCCUUGCAAUCUUGUGGAAUUCUUAUAAAUUCUGUUACCAGGUUUUGUUGUUGUUGUAAGGAAAAAUUCCAUUUUGUUAUCUUUUUUUUUUUUUUUUGGAUACAGUCUCUCUCUGUCACCCAGGCUGGAGUGCAGUGGCGGGAUCUCGGCUCACUGCAGCCUCUGCCGCCUGGGUCCAAGUGAUUAUCCUGUCUUGGCCUCUCUAGUAGCUGGGAUUACAGGCACCGCCACCAUGCCUGGCUAAUUUUUCUGUUUUUAGUAGAGACAGGGUUUCUCCAUGUUGGCCAGGCUGGUCUCGAACUCCUGACCUCAGGUGAUCCGCCUGUCUCAGCCUCCCAAAGUGUUGGGAUUACAGGUGUGAGCCACAGCGCUGGGCCCUAAAACUGCAUUUUGUUACCUGUUAAUAUGAAGCAUCUUUGUUGUUUCCCAAGACACUUCCUGUUUAGGUCCACAGUGAGUUUUAGGAAUUAAGUUUAGGAAAGUGGAACACAAUUUUGGCACAUUGUCUUUUUUUUUUUUUUUUUGGAGACGGUCUUGCUCUGUCGCCCAGGCUGGAGUGCAGUGGCGCGAUCUUGGCUCACUGCAACCUCCGCUUCCCGGGUUCAAGCAGUUCUCUGCCUCAGCCUCCUGAGUAGCUGGGAUUACAAGCACAUACCACCAUGCCCGGCUAACUUUCGUAUUUUUAGUAGAGACGGGGUUUCACCGUCUUGGCCAGGCUGGCCUUGAACUCUUGACCUUGUGAUCCACCCGCCUUGGCCUCCCAAAGUGCUGGGAUUACAGGCGUCAACCACCGCGCCCAACUGAACACUGUCUUUAUAAAAACACAGUCCUUUCAGAUGUCGGGACUUAUUAAUAAUUAAAUAUAUUCAAAUUUAUUUGCAACAAAAAAUUACCUUUCAUAGAAAUGUUACAUUAAAAAAUAUAUUUUAACUUAUACUUGAUGUCAUUGGAACUUUGUUAAACUUUGUUUAUAUUUUAGUGAAAGGAGAGGAAAAUGUUCGAUCAGAAAAAAAUAUAUUUCUAAUAUAUUGAAUAUUAUCCUAUCAUUGCCACAUAUUGUGCACUAUCAGAAUUACAUAUCAUCUUUGUCUUUUCCUACUGUGGGAGUUCGAUCAAUUUGUAAAACAACAUAAAUUUUUUUCUAUGGGCCAAACAGUGAUUAGAAUGGCUGAAACAUAAUACUGCUCUGAGGUAGCUGAAGCUAAUGGUAUUAAACACAAAGCCAUAUGGUAGAUCUGCAAUUAAAAAAAAAAUCACAUAUAAUGGAGGAACUGACAUGCAGUACAAUUUUAUAAAUUAUGGGUUGUUGUAGCCUGUAGUUUUAACAUGAUACAAACAUCACAUAAUUAUCCUAUAAAGGUUAAUUUCAUUGCUACAUUGACCUGACAGUUGCAGGAGUACAAUAGCUGUCAAUAAGAUAAAAUUGUGUUUUUGGUGGUUUUGGAGAAAGCUUUGAGGACUUGUUUUAGGAAAAGGCAUUUAAUCUAUUUACAACAUUAUGUUUUGGUAUUACUGGCAUUUCUUUUAAAGUAAUUCAGCAUAUUAUCACUAUAAGCUCAGAAUUCCCUUUUCCUAAAUAGAAAGUGACCUAUUUUACUGACUUUUAAAAAUGUAAGAUUACAUUACAUUUAACAACAUCAACUGUCCAUUGCAAACAGCAGUGAAGGAGACCAGUGGUGCAGGAGAUACAAAACUUUUCACGCUUACUUUUGGAAGACACGUGUUAUAUAGCAAAUGCGCCUUUCUGGUGGAGUCUGUUAUAUUAAAUUUGAUUUGUAUUCAUUUUACUGACAGCAGGAGAUUGGUAGCCUAAAAUCAUGGUAGCUUCAAGAGAGUUUUCAACCUGGCAUAAAUUUCCUUUUUCUGUGAGGAAUCCACAGGUAAGAAUUGACUGUUAGAACAAAAAGAUGAUUAAGCACUUCAUAAGUGCAGGGUUUUGUGAAAGUGGUUCAUAAUUAUAAUGUGGAUACAUUCCAGAUUCUGUUAAUGACCACCUCAACAUCAUACAGUAUAGCCAUUUUAAUAUGAUGAUGUUACGUCAACCUGUUGUACAACUACUUUAUAAUUUUACUGUGGGUGAUGUGUGUUGAAGUGAUCAUUAAACAUGCCUGUGUGCAUGUGUGUGUAUAUGUUUCUGUCCGUAUGUCAUCUUUAUCAUCAGUGUGAAACACGACUUCCUCUAUAUACACGUUUGAAUUAUUAGUUCCUUAAGUGGAUCUGAUAAAUCCUUGGAAAAAGAAGGAGAAUUUUGAGAAGUCCUGUGUGUUAGUUCCUCAAGUGGAUAUGGUAAAUUCUUGGAAAAAGAAUGAGAAUUUUGAGAGAUAAUGUAUAUUUGAUUCCUUUCUGAAAUGGAACAUAGUCUUGCCAUCUGUCUUUGGCUCUUUUUAUGACUGGUUCUGUGACUAUAGAACAGGCCAUAUACAUUAUCUGAGCGCAUGAGAAAAGCUCUACAGAGAAUGGUGGUAGGCUGGUAUGAAAGGCGCGAUGUUGUUGUAGGGCAUCGAGCCCCGGGCCGUCACCGUCACCUCGGCCGCUGCCGCUGUCACCAUGUCACCAUCGGGGCCGCUGCCGCUGUCACCAUCGCCUUGUUCCCCCAUCCCCCGCCAUGGCUGAGGACCUCUCCGCGGCCACAUCCUACUGCCCCGUCUGUCAGGAGGUGCUCAAAACGCCCGUGCGGACCGCGCCCUGUCAGCACGUUUUCUGUAGAAAAUGUUUCCUGACUGCAAUGAGGGAAAGCGGAGCACAUUGUCCCCUGUGUCGUGGAAAUGUGACUAGAAGAGAGAGCAUGCCCUGAACGGGCCUUAGACCUUGAAAAUAUAAUGAGGAAGUUUUCUGGUAGCUGCAGAUGCUGUGCAAAACAGAUUAAAUUCUAUCGCAUGAGACUUCAUUGCAAAUCUUGUAAGAAGUAUCAGGAUGAAUAUGAUGUUUCUUCUAUCAUUCCAAACUUUCAGAUCUCUGAAGAUUCAGUAGGGAACAGCAAUAGGAGUGAAACAUCCACAUCUGAUAACACAGAAACUUACCAAGAGAAUACAAGUUCUUCUGGUCAUCCUACUUAUAAGUGUCCCCUGUGUCAAGAAUCAAAUUUUACCAGAGAGCGUUUACUGGAUCACUCUAACAGUAAUCACUUAUUUCAGAUAGUUCCUGUGACAUGUCCUAUUUGUGUAUCUCUUCCUUGGGGAGAUCCUAGCCAGAUUACCAGAAAUUUCGUUAGUCAUCUAAAUCAGAGACAUCAGUUUGAUUAUGGAGAAUUUGUGAAUCUUCAGCUAGAUGAAGAAACUCAAUGUCAAACUGCUGUUGAAGAAUCAUUUCAAGUAAACAUCUGAAGGCUGUAGACAUCUCUGCAUCUUUGUACCUGCAAGUGCCAUCUUUAAGGGGGAAACUACAUGAAGUCACCGUUUCAGUAACUUGAUGUGUAUAUUAAUAAAAGUAAUUCAGUCAUUUUAGUUUUUGAUUGAAAAUAAAGGUAGGGCUUCUAAAAACUUCAUCCUCUUGGUAAGUUAAAAAAUGAAAGUUAUGACAUUAGCUUUAAAAGCGUAAAAGAUGUUUCACUAAUGUAAUGGUGAAAGAGAAUCCCUGUUGUACUUUAUCUUUUUGUAAUAUUAAAUAUUCUUGAAUUUUUCAUUAUGUUGCUUUUGAAAUUUGGUACAUUCCUCCCAUUUACUUUAUUAUUGUACACAUUAAACACACAGUAGCAAAUUUUGAACGAUGUGAUAUAAUCUAACAAAUCUGAGCCAGUUAUUAGAGUUGCAGAAUAGAAACUUGAAGUGCUAAAUGGAAAAAUCCAAAGGAAAUUUUUUAAAUGCAGAUUCUAGCUGAAAAAUUCAACUAUAAGAAAAUCGUAUUUAUAUAACAUUUACUAUUUUUGAAGACUAGUAAUAAUUUUAAUUCUUUAAAAAGUGAAAGCUUGUUGUAAAGAUAUUUUCUUUUUGUUAUUAGAAGGAAAUACAGAGAGAAAAAUUUAUUUCUUUCAUGGGCAUUUGGUAAUUUCAGUCUUUGACUGAUUUGUAAGCCUAGAAUAUACUAAGCUGAAUAGCAGCUCUUUGGCCUCAGAAUUUUCAGUAGCCAGUAUUUCUGAUUAACUAAGUUGAAACUCUUAUUAGAAACUUUCAGUUGGUAUUACUGUAUUCUAGAAGAUAUAAAUGAGAGGUUUGGCUUCAUCUCAGUUUAGAAAUUUAUUCAAAGCUAAAGAUGUAUAUGUAUAUAUAUAUACUUUUGUGUGUAUAUAUACACGUAUGUGUGUAUGCAGUUUUUCAGGUUAUAUAUAGAGUUUCUAUAAGGAUUUUUUAAAUGGACAAGCAAUAGGGGGUUGAAGUGUUUAUCUGAUUUGUUAAAAUUUUGUGUAUAACCAGAUUUUUAAAAAGUGAUAGUCACAGUGCUAAGUGAUCUAGUUGGCUGCUAUUACACCUUAGAAAUUGAGUUUACACACACACACAAUUACCUGUUUGUAUGGUGCUCAUUUCUUAUUCUCAGAUAUAAUGUGUGACCGUGAUACAGUGAGAAAGAUUCUACCAACCACUGUUUCACUACUUUUUAGUCAAAAUUGGGUAUGUUCUUAGUAUUCAUUAGUGAGAAUCAUAAAGUAUUUUGUAGAAGGCCCAAAUCACAGAAUAAAGGACUAAGAGUGGAUUCACUGACAU